GGCAAAAUAUAUAAUUUUUAUUUAGAGACGUCUUCUCUAUUUUGCAAAGAUCUAAUAAAAGAGAUCUAGGAAGAAAAAAAAACGAUUAAUGAAAUAAAAACAAUAAUUGGAGACUCAAUUUUGAUUUUCACGAGUCUUCAUGUCUUUAACACUUUUGGGUUAGUGACAACAUAAGUUAUCAAACUUUUUAUCUUCAAUUUGUGUCCCAUGCUCAUAUUCAUGGCUAUACUAUAUUCAUUGGUAAUGCUUUGGGUGGUGCUUGCUUUAAAAAAAAGUUGAUUUGCAUAUCAAACCUAUUGCAGAACAAAAACAGUGUCAUGGCUUCCAAUUUAUACUUCUACAUAAAAUAAACAAAAUAGCAAAUUACUAAAACUAUUAAAAAUAGUUUUGGACAGAAAAGCACAACUAAGCAAUCACAAUGAGUCCUGAUUUAUACAUUUCAAAAAAAAGUAAAAUUUGAAAUUGAAAUUUAAAGAGAAACACAUUAUAAUGCAAAGAGAACCUACCUAUGUUAUUGUAACUUAAUAAUAUCAUAUCAUAAAAGAGAAGAUACUAACAAUAACAAUAACAAAAGAAAAAAACUCAAUAUAGUAUGUCACUACUAUUCGUCAUAUCUUAAACAAAAUAAAACAAUAACAAACACAACUAUAUUUGAAUCAAUUUUUUCUUAUAUGUCUGAAGCUAUCCAGAUCAUAUCAUAGAACAGAUAGCUCAUUCUUGAGUUUUGCAUUGCAAUGUUAUCGUCUCGUUAGCCUAAAAUAAUUGAACGUUAGCCUAAAAAAAUUUUGGAAUCAACAUAUGAAGUCCCAUUUUAGAAACAAUAUCCAUUAUUAGAUGACUCUAAAAUGAAAGAAGAACAUGUGAAUUAUCACAUAGAAGAGAAGAAGAAUUAUCACAACCAAAAUAAAAACUACAUUAAAUUGAUCGAGGGGUAGAAGAUGAAACAGAGAAGAAUUUGAACAAUGAGUUUUCAAUUUUUUUCACCGAGAAGAAGCCCAACUCAUGGGAAGUUAAAAAAAGAUGGGAGAGUGAUAAUUUAGGGACUAAAUUGACUGAUUACUUGAAAAACAAUACAUUGAAUAUAAACACAGAAAGAAGAAGAA
rnacentral:lncRNA from 1 species